UACAGUGCUAGAGGACAGACCCUUUGUGCAGCUGAGUGCCUUGGAUGCUUACAGAAAGCUUCAAAAAGCACCAGAAUUUAUUCAACUUUUGUACAGAAGACUUCAGCCUCAGACCAGAACACAUUACAUGGUGGAGGAUGUAAUGCUUCCUACAUCUGCAUCAGCUGUGCCAUAAAUCAGACAGGUGGCCUGAGCGGCCUUGAGCAUACUGGGGGAGCUGUCUUCAAUGUCCAGUGUCCUUUUAGAUGGCUGUUCCUUGACCCCCACUUUUGGGCUAGCUGUUUCCCAUGACCGGACAGAAUUGCAUGAAGGACAUGCUACAGUGAUGAUGUAACUGCUGAGGGAGGGCAGACAGAAGGGGAAGGCUUAAUUCU